AACGCACAUUGCGCCCCCCUCAACGGGGGGGCAUGCCUGUCUGAGCGUCAUCUAGACCCAUGAAACCCGGCUUGGGGUUCGUGUUGGGCCCCGCCUCAGGGCGUCGCCUCAAACGGAUUGGUCUUUUGAGCGGAUGAGACCCAUUUGGGACGGCCGUUUGAAGACAGUAAUCAUCGGACUUGACCUCAGAUCAGGUAGGACUACCGCCUGAACUUAA
rnacentral:misc_RNA from 1 species